rnacentral:miRNA from 1 species
AGAUGUUGUAGAACUACAAAUCCCAUGAUGCUUUGUCAUUCUAAAUGCAUUAUAAAGGCAGCAAAGCAUCAUGGGAUUUGUAGUUCUACAACA